rnacentral:rRNA from 1 species
AGUGUGUAUCAAUCGAGUUUCUGACCUAUCAGCUUUUGAUGUUAGGGUAUUGGCCUAACAUGGCUAUGACGGGUAACGGGGAAUUAGAGUUCGAUUCCGGAGAGGGAGCCUGAGAAAUAGCUACCACAUCUAAGGAAGGCAGCAGGCGCGUAAAUUACCCAAUUCUAAAGAAGAGAGGUAGUGACAAGAAAUAACAAUACAAGGCCAAUCUGGCUUUGUAAUUGGAAUGAUGGGAAUUUAAAACCUUCCCAAAAUUCAAUUGGAGGGCAAGUCUGGUGCCAGCAGCCGCGGUAAUUCCAGCUCCAAUAGCGUAUAUUAAAAUUGUUGCAGUUAAAACGCUCGUAGUUGAAUUUCAAAGAAUCGAUAUUUUAAGUAACGCUUCUAGCUAUAAAUCCACAUAACUGAUGCCUCCGCGUAUCGACUUUGUGCGCAUUUUAGCUAUUAUGUGUUCUUUUAAUUAAAAUGAUUCUUUUUAAGAUUCAUCUAUUAAAAAUUUGCUUCGGCAUAAUUUUUUUUGAUGAUCUUGUUACUUUGAGUAAAUUAGAGUGUUCAAAGCAAACAGAUAUAGCAUUUGUGCGUUUGAAUACUACAGCAUGGAAUAACAAAAUUGAACAAGUCAGAAUUUUUUUGUUCUUUUUUCUUAUUUUGGCUUAGUUACGAUUAAUAGGAGUAGCUUGGGGGCAUUUGUAUUCAGAUGUCAGAGGUGAAAUUCUUAGAUUUUCUGGAGACAAACAACUGCGAAAGCAUUUGCCUAAAAUACUUCCAUUAAUCAAGAACGAAAGUUAAGGGAGUGAAGACGAUCAGAUACCGUC